AACGAACGCUGGCGGCAGGCUUAACACAUGCAAGUCGAGCGCCUCGCAAGAGGAGAGGCGGACGGGUGAGUACCGCGUGGGGACGUACCCUUAUCUUCGGAAUAGCACUGGGAAACUGGAGGUAAUACCGAAUGUGCCCUUAGGGGGAAAGAUUUAUCGGAUAAGGAUCGGCCCGCGUUGGAUUAGCUAGUUGGUGGGGUAAAGGCCUACCAAGGCGACGAUCCAUAGCUGGUCUGAGAGGAUGAUCAGCCACAUUGGGACUGAGACACGGCCCAAACUCCUACGGGAGGCAGCAGUGGGGAAUAUUGGACAAUGGGCGCAAGCCUGAUCCAGCCAUGCCGCGUGAGUGAUGAAGGCCUUAGGGUUGUAAAGCUCUUUUACCGGAGAAGAUAAUGACGGUAGCCGGAGAAGAAGCCCCGGCUAACUUCGUG
rnacentral:rRNA from 1 species